rnacentral:rRNA from 1 species
UACAGAGGGGGGCAAGCGUUAUUCGGAAUUAUUGGGCGUAAAGGGCGCGUAGGCGGCCUGGCAAGUGGAAGGUGAAAUCCCUCGGCUUAACCGAGGAACUGCCCUCCAAACUGCUUGGCUUGAGACCGGGAGAGGUGAGUGGAAUUCCCAGUGUAGCGGUGAAAUGCGUAGAUAUUGGGAGGAACACCAGUGGCGAAGGCGGCUCACUGGACCGGUACUGACGCUGAGACGCGAAAGCGUGGGGAGCGAACAGG